rnacentral:rRNA from 1 species
CAAUGNGACCCCAGGUCAGGCGGGGCUACCCGCUGAGNUUAAGCAUAUCAAUAAGCGGAG